UACGAGUGCCUCAAGCGUUAUCCGGAAUCAUUGGGCGUAAAGGGUGUGUAGGUGGUUAUGUUAGUCUCGCGUUAAAUCUCCCGGCUCAACCGGGAAACUGCGUGGGAAACGGCAUGACUUAGAGGACGGGAGAGGUUUCUGGAACUCAUAGUGUAGCGGUGAAAUGCGUUGAUAUUAUGGGGAACACCAAAAGCGAAGGCAAGAAACUGGCCCGCUCCUGACACUGAAACACGAAAGCGUGGGUCGCGAAUGGG
rnacentral:rRNA from 1 species